AAAAGCAGGUCCAAAUGGACAUAUGAUCCUAGUGGCUUUAUUGUGCAGCAAAAAUGUAAGACUGAAAUGUGCAUCCAUAUGCAUUAGUAACCAAAUGUCUGAAACAUUGUCCUUUUCUGUACUUACAGGGAUAACGUUUUCAUUAGAACUUGACAGCACUGAAACUGAAAUAUUCUUUCUGAUUAUCACACGUUCUGCAUAUGGUUUUUCAGUAGUGUUCAUUUUUUGGUUUCUUCGACCGAUUUUUUAUGAUAUACGGAAAUUAUUGGAAAGUGUUGUUCCCAAAAAGUAUUACUAUUUACGUGACGAUGUCCCUGAUGUGCUUUUUUUCAUUCUUAAAAGAACACUCUACCUUCUAUUUCUGAUCAUCCUUUUAGAAAAGGAUAAAGAAUACCCGGCACUGAUGUCUUUCAUUGCAUUCCUCUACAUCCUGAAUGCAAUACAGGAAUUUAAGCACAGGAGUCAUUUCCCUGCUGUUCUUCAUAUCCUAGUAUAUGUGUUUGGUUCUGCUGUCCUAAGUGUCCUUAAUUCAGCUGCUCUAGCAACAGAAGUAAUUCUGAAAGCAGAAAAUGGGGAACGAACUGUGGAUCUUCGGUUGAUCAUCUUUCCCCUUGAGUCUUUCUUUUUGGCCUGUUGGCUAGUUUUACAGAUCUAUGCAUACUGUAAGUAUUUGGAAAUAUUACAUAUUUGGUAAAUAUCAAAUAUGGCUGAUACUCACAUAUAACUCAGAUUCCUUCAAAUUACAAGAACAUUAUGCACGUGUAAAUGGAAUGUUGUCAUAUUUUGGUAAAUGUUGACCAUCUUUGUUACUUUCUUA